rnacentral:lncRNA from 1 species
CCGCUAUCACACCAGUCGACCCAAGAAAAAGUGAAUGAAAACUUUGAUCAUCUCAUCUCCAUUGUGCUAUGUACUCCAUCCCAAAUCUCCUGAUGUGGAAUAUCAUCCUCACAUGUCUUCUUACAUAAUGGGCCAGGGUUAUGCGAUGAAAAGUCAGUAGAAGUAGGUGUUGAUCAAUUAUUAAGGAGUUUGAAAUAAUCAUUUAAACGGAAUUCUUCAGAUGAAAACAUAAAGACAUUUAUCGGGUCAGAGCAUUGGUCGGUUCACAUACUCAGGAUCAGUGGCCUGGGUGGGCAGGCACUGGGUGAAUGGAGAGCUGCAGGUAUUGGAAGAGAGCCCAGUUGGAUAUGUAGUUUCCAAAGAUCAUCAAGGCAGACAACCAAAGGGAAACCGUGGGAAACACCUGCUUUGGGCCAUCUAAGAUGAGAUGAUAAAGUAAGGAAAGAGUUGAGCCCAACACAGUGAUAGCCAAUCUGAAAGCGGGCAGAACUGACAAGACCAAACAAGUAGGUGAACUGGCUGCAGGCAGCCAGCCACCACAGGGACAGCGUGUACUCCAGGGACAAGCUCAAGGCUAUAGGUAGUUAGUUCAAGGCUACUAGGGUGAGAAGAGCAGGAACUGAGUUCUAUACCAGUGCUUCUCAAAACUAAUGUGCAUCCUAAUCACCUGGAAAUCUUGUAAAAAUGUAGAUUCUGAUUCAGUGAGUCUGAAGCAGAGCUUAAGAUACUACAUGCUUAACAAGAGCCUAGUUGAUGCUGACACUGCUGGUCCCUGGAGCUCUCUUUGAGUAGCAGGCUUCUGGAAGGCUUGUGUCACUAAGCACAGAGAAGCCUCACUUAUCAAAUCUGCACCAAAACAGGAAAACUAAUGUGAAGAAUAAUGUGAUGCACACGUCAGAGCAUGAGGCAGUUGCUUUGUCCCUGAGGUUGCGCUCCAGAUGGCUUCCUAAGAUGCGACAGGCUGAUCUUGUGCGUGGGGGUCCCGGAGGCUUGGGCCACGGGAGAGACAGGACCUCAGAGGCUGGGAGACAGGCAGAGACAGAAGAGUGACAUCCUGCUGCUUUUGAAUUUGCACAUUCUGUAGAAUAAUAACAGCAGUAAACUGUUACACAAUAUCUAUUCUCAGCAUCUUGAAGCCCUUUCACAUAUUGUUACUUCCAUUAAUGGGGCCCUUUGCUGCUAUUUCUACUUUUCUCUUCAGCUAUCAACAAUAUGGCUUUCCACACCUCCAUCAGACAGUAGCCAGAUGAAAUAAAAUGUGCCAGAAUGAAAACUUGUUCAUUUGUCUACUUUUUGCCAAGACUAGACAGGCAGGAAAUUGAAUGUAUUUUUACAGAAAAGGUUUUCAAAACUUUUUCCCCUCUGUGGCUCAUUUAGGUAAACUAAAAGGCAUAAGACCCACCUAAAACAUGGGUUCCCGCUUUUUAUUGGAGAAAGAACAUAGUACUUUAAAAAAAUACAUAAAAUAAUAAAAAGGAAAGACAAAGAUAAUGAAGGUUGUACAUGGUACCAAAUUUUUGUAUCCCAUAAUAACACAUGAGUAGAUCACUACUAAGUAGGUUUUAGUGACAUAUAGGAAACAUUAAAAUCUACAGAAAUUUGCAUUAUUUUCUGUCAAAAAGGAUCAUUUCACAGCCUUUCAGGGGGAACCCAUUGCCCACAGGAACUCAUGCAUUCCAUGCUUUGAGGAUCACUAGAUCUAAGAAGCCUUCCUUGGAGGUUCUAGCCUCCAACCCUUAUUUUAGUAAAAGAAGCUCCAGUUUUAUCUGUUUCUAAGUCAGACUACCACACAACAUUGGGCUUAAAGAAAGGUUUCCAGGGCUAAAGCAGACUUUGAGGAUUACUAAUUCCGAGUUAAAUUUCUGUGUAUUAUCUCUGGAUUUGACUUAUUCACACUGGACUAUCACUCAUAAAUAUACAUAAUACAGAGUUAACUAUUUAAAUUUAUAAAGAGAGUAUUUUCCUUUUUUAUGAGCAAAACAUGCUGCCAACUACUUGGACCACAUACUGAUCCAUAAAUACUGACAGCUUUGUAAUUGGAAAUAAUAAAUACACACUAAUGAAGCAUCUCAAAAGGGAAGAGCCACAGGUAAUCUGAGUGAUUAGGCAUUCAUGUUAGGUUAGGCUUUGAUCAUUGUUUUUAAUCGCAAUUUCAUUGCAGUGCAUCUAUAAAUCCAUGUCCAGAAGUAUGAAGUGGUUCUAUAGUAAGAAUAAGAUGCUACAGAUAAUGCGACUAAAUAAGACACUAUAGGUAAUGACACAGAUUCAAGUCUUAUUGUUGAUGGGAAGAGGUCAAUAAUGGAUGAUAUAAUAUACUACAGCAAUGAGAAUUAUUGAAUGUUUUCCAGACUCACUUGUAUAAUUGGCCAUAACAGCAAACAAAAAACAGGUUCUGAUAGCAAAAUGAUAUACAGUACUAACAAAGGUGAAUCUUGAGGUGAACCUUCUCUUUAUAAGUUUAAAUAGUUUACCCCCGACCUUUUCCCAUAGUAGAACAGCCUAAAAAGUAUCUUUCAGUAGAAUGCUAGUGCUUAUGAGGUUUUCUUAAGAUAUCAUUUUUCAAUUAAAAUUUAUUUCACAAAAGACUCACAUCCUUGCCAGCCUUCAGGGUGAGUGUUGAUUCAGGCUGUGUCCAACGGCAACGAUGAGUGAACUUCUCACCCUCAGAAUCACAUGAGCAUUCCUGAGAUGUUUUAUCAGAGUGAUACCAACUUCAUUAUUAGAAUAUUGAGUCCCUAUUUCCUAUAUUCAAUGUCCUUUCAAGCCCUAACUUUGUCCGGGUUGAAGGCAAAGAUCCAAAUAAUCACAUUUGUCUUUGAUAACUGAAACUGGGAGAACUGGGACUGUCUCAAGAGUUCUACGUGACUGUAGGUUGCAAGUACUGUGGUUGCAUCUCCAAAUAUUAACCAAUCCCAGUGACAAUUCAAUGGGGUCUCCUGAACCAUGAUCCUCAUGUCUCCAGUGAAGGAAAUGGGCAAAGGGGAUUCAAAAAUCCCUUUUGGAGGAAUAGGAAACUUCUGCUUUCCUUCAUUUCAUAACAUUUGCGAUGGAACAAAGGCUUUUUUAGAAUGGAGCAACCAGAUCCUUUUUUGGGGGAAUCAGCUUAAAUGUCCCUUCUUCUCAUACUACUUUUAUCUAUGUGAUCCUAUUCUUUUCUGUUGUGGAUUGAAUCAUGUCCCUCAAAAAGAUUGAAUUUAGAGUGUGCUCUAAAUUCAAUGUGGAGAAAUUUGGACACAGAGGCAGACACACAGGGAGAACCCCGUGUGACAAUGGAGGAAGAGGAUGCAUUUAUGCUGCCACAAGCCAAGGAACACCAAAGAUUGUCAGCAGCCACCAGAAGCUAGGAUAAAGGCAUGGCACAUCACUCCCUCUGAGCCCCCAAAAGGAGCCAAGACUGCUAAUACUCUGAUCUCGGACUUCUGGCCUGAAACAGUGAGAGAAUAAGGUUCUGUUGUUUCAAGCUACCCAGCUUGCGGUAUUUUGUCACAGAAGCACAAGGAAUCAAGUACAUUUUCUUUCUCAGCACUUGUGAUAAUUUGAUUUUUUCUUUACUCAGUGGUUGUUUCACACCUAUGUCCCCAUCAGACUGUAAGCUUAAAGAGACCUGGAUCUG